AUUCAUUGAUGCAGUUUGGAAAUAAUGGUGAAGGUGCUGAACCCUCAGCAGGAGGGCAGUUUGAGUCCCUCACCUUUGACAUGGAGUUGACCUCGGAGUGCGCUACCUCCCCCAUGUGAGGAGCUGAGAACGGAAGCUGCAGAAAGAUACGACUGAGGCGCCUACCUGCAUUCUGCCACCCCUCACACAGCCAAACCCCAGAUCAUCUGAAACUACUAACUUUGUGGUUCCAGAUUUUUUUUAAUCUCCUACUUCUGCUAUCUUUGAGCAAUCUGGGCACUUUUAAAAAUAGAGAAAUGAGUGAAUGUGGGUGAUCUGCUUUUAUCUAAAUGCAAAUAAGGAUGUGUUCUCUGAGACCCAUGAUCAGGGGAUGUGGCGGGGGGUGGCUAGAGGGAGAAAAAGGAAAUGUCUUGUGUUGUUUUGUUCCCCUGCCCUCCUUUCUCAGCAGCUUUUUGUUAUUGUUGUUGUUGUUCUUAGACAAGUGCCUCCUGGUGCCUGCGGCAUCCUUCUGCCUGUUUCUGUAAGCAAAUGCCACAGGCCACCUAUAGCUACAUACUCCUGGCAUUGCACUUUUUAACCUUGCUGACAUCCAAAUAGAAGAUAGGACUAUCUAAGCCCUAGGUUUCUUUUUAAAUUAAGAAAUAAUAACAAUUAAAGGGCAAAAAACACUGUAUCAGCAUAGCCUUUCUGUAUUUAAGAAACUUAAGCAGCCGGGCAUGGUGGCUCACGCCUGUAAUCCCAGCACUUUGGGAGGCCGAGGCGGAUCAUAAGGUCAGGAGAUCAAGACCAUCCUGGCUAACACGGUGAAACCCCGUCUCUACUAAAAGUACAAAAAAUUAGCUGGGUGUGGUGGUGGGCGCCUGUAGUCCCAGCUACUCGGGAGGCUGAGGCAGGAGAAUCGCUUGAACCUGAGAGGCGGAGGUUGCAGUGAGCCAAAAUUGCACCACUGCACACUGCACUCCAUCCUGGGCGACAGUCUGAGACUCUGUCUC
rnacentral:lncRNA from 1 species